GAUGAACGCUGGCGGCGUGCUUAACACAUGCAAGUCGAGCGGACAGGCCCUGAUCUUGUUGCGUGCUCGAGUGGCGAACGGGUGUGUAAAACGCGUGUAACACGCCCUUGAAUUUGGGAUAACAUCAGGGAAAUGGGGCUAUUACAGGAUAGGAGAUCUUGAUGCAUAGUGGUGGUUGGAAAGUUUCGGCGGUUGUGGAUGGUCUCGCGGCUUAUCAGCUUCUUGGUGGGGUAGUGGCUUACCAAGCCUUUGACGGGUAGCCGGCCUGAGAGGGGGACCGGCGACAAUGGGACUGAGAUACGGACCAGACUCCUACGGGAGGCAGCAGUGGGGAAUAUUGCGCAGUGGGCGGAAGCCUGAUACAGCGACGCCGGGUGCGUGAUGACGGCCUUCGAGGGAUAAACCGCUGUCGCCGGUGACGAAGCGGGAUUGACGGUAAUUAGUAAGGAAGCACCGGCUAACUACGUG
rnacentral:rRNA from 1 species